rnacentral:rRNA from 1 species
GGGCCCGCACAAGCGGUGGAGCAUGUGGUUUAAUUCGAUGAUACGCGAGGAACCUUACCAGGGCUUAAAUGUAACGGGACAGAUCUAGAGAUAGACCCUUCUUCGGACUCAUUACAAGGUGCUGCAUGGUUGUCGUCAGCUCGUGCCGUGAGGUGUCAGGUUAAGUCCUAUAACGAGCGCAACCCCUAUCGUUAGUUGCCAGCGAGUAAUGUCGGGAACUCUAACGAAACUGCCAGUGCAAACUGUGAGGAAGGUGGGGAUGACGUCAAAUCAUCACGGCCCUUACGUUCUGGGCUACACACGUGCUACAAUGGCCGGUACAGAAAGCAGCCACUAUGCGAAUAGGAGCUAAUCUUUAAAACCGGUCUCAGUUCGGAUCGCAGUCUGCAACUCGACUGCGUGAAGCUGGAAUCGCUAGUAAUCG